AGGGAAGAUCUUGAUGUGUUGAUAAUUUGUAAAACUUUUAUACCUGGUUCUUUGAACUUUAAAGAAUGUCGUGCUAAUUUUCUCAGGUACUAGAGAUUCU